rnacentral:rRNA from 1 species
UCAGAAACGAAACGCUGGCGGCAGGCUUAACACAUGCAAGUCGAACGCCCCUUACGGGGAGUGGCAGACGGGUGAGUAACGCGUGGGAACAUACCCUUUCCUGCGGAAUAGCUCCGGGAAACUGGAAUUAAUACCGCAUACGCCCUACGGGGGAAAGAUUUAUCGGGGAAGGAUUGGCCCGCGUUGGAUUAGCUAGUUGGUGGGGUAAAGGCCUACCAAGGCGACGAUCCAUAGCUGGUCUGAGAGGAUGAUCAGCCACAUUGGGACUGAGACACGGCCCAAACUCCUACGGGAGGCAGCAGUGGGGAAUAUUGGACAAUGGGCGCAAGCCUGAUCCAGCCAUGCCGCGUGAGUGAUGAAGGCCUUAGGGUUGUAAAGCUCUUUCACCGAUGAAGAUAAUGACGGUAGUCGGAGAAGAAGCCCCGGCUAACUUCGUGCCAGCAGCCGCGGUAAUACGAAGGGGGCUAGCGUUGUUCGGAAUUACUGGGCGUAAAGCGCACGUAGGCGGAUAUUUAAGUCAGGGGUGAAAUCCCGCAGCUCAACUGCGGAACUGCCUUUGAUACUGGGUAUCUUGAGUAUGGAAGAGGUAAGUGGAAUUCCGAGUGUAGAGGUGAAAUUCGUAGAUAUUCGGAGGAACACCAGUGGCGAAGGCGGCUUACUGGUCCAUUACUGACGCUGAGGUGCGAAAGCGUGGGGAGCAAACAGGAUUAGAUACCCUGGUAGUCCACGCCGUAAACGAAGAGAUGUUAGCCGUCGGGCAGUAUACUGUUCGGUGGCGCAGCU